UACGAAGGGGGCUAGCGUUGCUCGGAAUCACUGGGCGUAAAGCGCACGUAGGCGGAUUGUUAAGUCAGGGGUGAAAUCCUGGAGCUCAACUCCAGAACUGCCUUUGAUACUGGCGAUCUCGAGUCCGGGAGAGGUGAGUGGAACUGCGAGUGUAGAGGUGAAAUUCGUAGAUAUUCGCAAGAACACCAGUGGCGAAGGCGGAUCUCUGGGCCGAUACUGACGCUGAGGAGCGAAAGCGUGGGUAGCAAACAGG
rnacentral:rRNA from 1 species